AGUGAACGCUGGCGGUAGGCCUAACACAUGCAAGUCGAACGGCAGCACAGUAAGAGCUUGCUCUUACGGGUGGCGAGUGGCGGACGGGUGAGGAAUACAUCGGAAUCUACUUUUUCGUGGGGGAUAACGUAGGGAAACUUACGCUAAUACCGCAUACGACCUACGGGUGAAAGCAGGGGAUCUUCGGACCUUGCGCGAUUGAAUGAGCCGAUGUCGGAUUAGCUAGUUGGCGGGGUAAAGGCCCACCAAGGCGACGAUCCGUAGCUGGUCUGAGAGGAUGAUCAGCGACACUGGAACUGAGACAAGGUCAAGACUCCUAAGGGAGGCAGCAGUGGGGAAUAUUGGACAAUGGGCGCAAGCAUGAUCCAGCCAUACCGCGUGGGUGAAGAAGGCCUUCGGGUUGUAAAGACCUUUUGUUGGGAAAGAAAAGCAGCAGGUUAAUACCCAGCUGUUCUGACGGUACCAAAAGAAUAAGCACCGGCUAACUUCGUG
rnacentral:rRNA from 1 species